rnacentral:rRNA from 1 species
CUAUACUGCACGUCGAGCGGACAGAAGGGAGCUUGCUCCCGGAUGUUAGCGGCGGACGGGUGAGUAACACGUGGGUAACCUGCCUGUAAGACUGGGAUAACUCCGGGAAACCGGAGCUAAUACCGGAUAGUUCCUUGAACCGCAUGGUUCAAGGAUGAAAGACGGUUUCGGCUGUCACUUACAGAUGGACCCGCGGCGCAUUAGCUAGUUGGUGAGGUAACGGCUCACCAAGGCGACGAUGCGUAGCCGACCUGAGAGGGUGAUCGGCCACACUGGGACUGAGACACGGCCCAGACUCCUACGGGAGGCAGCAGUAGGGAAUCUUCCGCAAUGGACGAAAGUCUGACGGAGCAACGCCGCGUGAGUGAUGAAGGUUUUCGGAUCGUAAAGCUCUGUUGUUAGGGAAGAACAAGUGCAAGAGUAACUGCUUGCACCUUGACGGUACCUAACCAGAAAGCCACGGCUAACUACGUGCCAGCAGCCGCGGUAAUACGUAGGUGGCAAGCGUUGUCCGGAAUUAUUGGGCGUAAAGGGCUCGCAGGCGGUUUCUUAAGUCUGAUGUGAAAGCCCCCGGCUCAACCGGGGAGGGUCAUUGGAAACUGGGAAACUUGAGUGCAGAAGAGGAGAGUGGAAUUCCACGUGUAGCGGUGAAAUGCGUAGAGAUGUGGAGGAACACCAGUGGCGAAGGCGACUCUCUGGUCUGUAACUGACGCUGAGGAGCGAAAGCGUGGGGAGCGAACAGGAUUAGAUACCCUGGUAGUCCACGCCGUAAACGAUGAGUGCUAAGUGUUAGGGGGUUUCCGCCCCUUAGUGCUGCAGCUAACGCAUUAAGCACUCCGCCUGGGGAGUACGGUCGCAAGACUGAAACUCAAAGGAAUUGACGGGGGCCCGCACAAGCGGUGGAGCAUGUGGUUUAAUUCGAAGCAACGCGAAGAACCUUACCAGGUCUUGACAUCCUCUGACAACCCUAGAGAUAGGGCUUUCCCUUCGGGGACAGAGUGACAGGUGGUGCAUGGUUGUCGUCAGCUCGUGUCGUGAGAUGUUGGGUUAAGUCCCGCAACGAGCGCAACCNUUGAUCUUAGUUGCCAGCAUUCAGUUGGGCACUCUAAGGUGACUGCCGGUGACAAACCGGAAGGAAGGUGGGGAUGACGUCCAAAUCAUCAUGCCCCUUAU